rnacentral:rRNA from 1 species
GGGUUGUGAGGUUAAGUGACUAAGCGUACACGGUGGAUGCCUAGGCAGUCAGAGGCGAUGAAGGGCGUGCUAAUCUGCGAAAAGCGUCGGUAAGGUGAUAUGAACCGUUACAAC